AUGGCGGGGCGAGGCAGAGGUGGUGCGCUGGCGGCGCUGCUGCUGCCGGUGAUCGUGCUGCUGUCGUGGUGCCUGAGCGGCGCGGCGCAGCCAUCACUGCGGUGCGGGGCCGGUGACCUCGCCGCGCUCAGAGGGUUCUCGGCGGGCCUUGAUGCCACUGUGGAUGGAUGGCCGGCCGUCGCUGAUGACGAUGAAGGCGGCUGCUGCGCGUGGCCUGGCGUGCUCUGCGGCCGCGCGGGCGUCGUCGGGGUGGUGCUGCCGAACCGGACGCUUCGGGGGGAGGUGGCCGCGUCGCUCGCCGGGCUGGCGGCGCUCCGCGUGCUCAACCUCUCCGGCAACGCGCUGCGGGGCGCGCUCCCGCCCGCGCUCCUCCGGCUGCGCCGACUCGAGGUGCUCGACGUCAGCUCCAACGCGCUCGCCGGCGCGAUCGGGCUCGGGCUCGAGCUCCCGGCGGCGCUGGUGUUCAACGUGUCGUACAACGCGUUCAACGGCAGCCACCCGGUGCUCCCCGGCGCCGUGAACCUCACGGCGUACGACGCGUCCGGCAACGGCUUCGAGGGACCCCUGGACGCCGCGGCGGUCUGCGCGUCCUCGCCGGGGCUGCGGGUCCUGCGGCUGUCCAUGAACAGGCUCUCCGGUGACUUCCCUGUCGGGUUCGGCCAAUGCCGGUCGCUUCUUGAGCUCUCGCUCGACGGGAACGGCAUCACCGGCGCCCUCCCAGAUGACCUCUUUGCCGCCACGUCGCUGCGGUACCUCUCCCUCCACACCAACUCCAUCUCCGGCGAGAUCCCGUUGGGGCUCCGCAACCUCACCGGCCUCGUCCGCCUCGACCUCUCCUUCAACGCAUUCUCUGGUGCGCUGCCCGAGGUGUUCGACGCGCUGGCCGGCACGCUCCAGGAGCUCUCGGCGCCGAGCAACGUGCUCACCGGUGGCCUUCCCGCCACGCUCUCGCUGUGCGUGAACCUUCGCGUCCUCAACCUCCGCAACAACACGCUCACCGGCGCCAUCGGCCUGGACUUCCGCGCCGUCAAUAGCCUCGUCUACCUCGACCUGAGCGUCAACAAGUUCACGGGCCUCAUCCCGGCGAGCCUCCCCGAGUGCGCCGGCAUGACGGCGCUCAACCUCGGCCGAAACCUCCUCACCGGCGAGAUACCGCCGUCGUUCUCCACGUUCCCGUCGCUCUCCUUCCUGUCCCUCACCGGCAACGGCUUCUCCAACGUCACGUCGGCGUUGAGGAUACUGCAGCGCUUGCCCAACCUGACGAGCCUCGUGCUCACCAAGAACUUCCGCGGCGGCGAGGCGAUGCCAGAGGACGGCAUCGACGGGUUCGCCAAGAUCGAGGUGCUCGUCAUUGCCAACUGCGAGCUCACCGGCGCGAUCCCGGCGUGGCUCGCUGGGCUCCGGAGGCUCAAGGUGCUCGACAUCUCGUGGAACCGGCUCGCCGGCCCGAUCCCGCCACUGCUCGGCGAGCUCGACCGCCUCUUCUACCUCGACAUAUCGAACAACUCGCUGCAGGGGGAGAUCCCGGCCAGCCUGACGCGGAUGCCGGCGCUGCUGGCCGGCAGCGGCAAUGGCCGUGACGACGACGACGAGAAGGUGCAGGACUUCCCGUUCUUUAUGCGCCGGAACGUGUCGGCGAAAGGACGGCAGUAUAACCAGGUGAGCAGCUUCCCGGCGUCGCUCGUGCUGGCGCGGAACAACCUCACCGGUGGCGUGCCGGCGGCUCUGGGAGCGCUGGCCAGAUUGCACAUCGUCGACCUUAGCUGGAACGGCUUCUCGGGGCCCAUCCCGCCGGAGCUGUCGGAAAUGACGAGCCUCGAGUCCCUCGACGUGUCGCGCAACGCGCUCUCCGGCGCCAUCCCGGCGUCUCUGACGCGGCUCAGCUUCCUCUCCCACUUCUCCGUCGCGGACAACAACCUCUCCGGCGAGAUCCCCAUCGGCGGCCAGUUCUUCACCUUCUCGAGCGCCGACUUCGCCGGGAACCCGUUCCUGUGCGGUUUCCACGUGGGACGGAAGUGCGACCGGAAGGGAGAUGAUCAGGCCACGGACGGCACGACCGGGACCAAUGACGGCCGGAAGAGCGCCGCUAGUGCCGGCGUCGUGGCGGCCAUAUGCGUCGGCACGGCGCUGCUGGUCGCCGUGGGCCUUGGCGCGACGUGGCGGGCGUGGUCGAGGCGGCGGCAGGAGGACAACGCCUGCAGGGUGGCCGCCGGCGACGACGAGGAAAGCACCGAUUCGUCCGCGGCGAGGUCGUCGACGCUGGUGCUCCUCUUCCCCUGCGACGAAGAAGAGGAGGAGACGACGGUGAUUACGCUUGACCAGGUGGUGAAGGCGACGGGCGACUUCGACGAGUCCCGCAUCGUCGGGUGCGGCGGGUUCGGCAUGGUGUACCGCGCGACGCUGGCGGAAGGGCGCGACGUCGCCGUGAAGCGCCUCUCCGGCGAUUUCCACCAGAUGGAGCGCGAGUUCCGGGCGGAGGUGGAGGCGCUCUCCCGCGUGCGCCACCGCAACCUCGUCGCCCUGCGCGGCUACUGCCGCCUCGGCAAGGACGUCCGCCUCCUCAUCUACCCGUACAUGGAGAACGGCAGCCUGGACCACUGGCUCCACGAGCGCGCGGACGCCGGCGACGCCCUGCCAUGGCCGGCGCGGCUGCGGAUCGCCCUGGGCGCGGCGCGCGGGCUGGCGCACCUGCACGGCGGAGGCGGCGGCGCGCGGGUGAUGCACCGGGAUGUGAAGUCGAGCAACAUCCUGCUGGACGCGGCCAUGGAGGCGCGGCUGGGGGACUUCGGGCUGGCGCGGCUGGCGCGCGGGAGCGACGACACGCACGUGACGACGGACCUGGUGGGCACGCUGGGGUACAUCCCGCCGGAGUACGGGCACUCGCCGGCGGCGACGUACCGGGGCGACGUGUACAGCAUGGGGGUGGUGCUGGUGGAGCUGGUGACGGGGCGGCGGCCCGUGGACAUGGCGGCGCGGCUCGGCGCGCGGGACGUGACGGCGUGGGCGGUGCGGCUCCGGCGGGAGGGGCGGGGCCGCGAGGCCGUGGACGCCGCCGUGCCGGGGCGGCACCGGGAGGAGGCGGCGAGGGUGCUGGAUCUGGCGUGCGCCUGCGUCAGCGAGGACCCCAAGGCGAGGCCCACGGCGCAGCAGCUCGUCGAGCGGCUCGACGCCAUCGCCGGCGCCGGCGCCGCCCGGGAGAUUCGCUCCGGCACGGUAGAUAACUGA
rnacentral:rRNA from 1 species